rnacentral:rRNA from 1 species
AUAACACUUGGAAACAGGUGCUAAUACCGCAUAACAGUUUAUGCCGCAUGGCAUAAGAGUGAAAGGCGCUUUCGGGUGUCGCUGAUGGAUGGACCCGCGGUGCAUUAGCUAGUUGGUGAGGUAACGGCUCACCAAGGCCACGAUGCAUAGCCGACCUGAGAGGGUGAUCGGCCACACUGGGACUGAGACACGGCCCAGACUCCUACGGGAGGCAGCAGUAGGGAAUCUUCGGCAAUGGACGAAAGUCUGACCGAGCAACGCCGCGUGAGUGAAGAAGGUUUUCGGAUCGUAAAACUCUGUUGUUAGAGAAGAACAAGGACGUUAGUAACUGAACGUCCCCUGACGGUAUCUAACCAGAAAGCCACGGCUAACUACGUGCCAGCAGCCGCGGUAAUACGUAGGUGGCAAGCGUUGUCCGGAUUUAUUGGGCGUAAAGCGAGCGCAGGCGGUUUCUUAAGUCUGAUGUGAAAGCCCC